UGUUCACACGCCUCCUUUAAGAAUAGCAAAGAGUAUUGGUAAGCGAUUUCUACACCAGGGUGCUGAUGGGGAGGAUUGUGUAACCGUGUGUGUGUGUGUGUGUGUGUGUGUGUGUGAGUGUGUGUGUGUGUGUCUGGAUAAAGGAAAGGAAAGACAGUUGACUAUCCUUCACCUGCCGCCCAAAGUACACCAACAGGAAGGGAUCUAAGAGAGAUCACAGGCUGCCUUCUCCUACCCAUGAGGCUUAGCGGGGGACGACAGCAGUCAAGGAAGUUUCUGCCCCGGGGGCCGGAGUGAAGAAGAAGCAGCAGCAGCAGGAUCGCCAUCUUUUAAAUCCUUCCUUUGGUGGCGUGACCCCUGACCCGGCCCCGGAGAAGGUUCCCUUCUGAUUCCUUCCUUGAAGUCACCAUGAACCAGCGUCCUGUUCUACGCCACGUCCCACCAAACACGACACCUCCACCAGAGACCUCCUGCGACCUUGUCUGAGCAACACCACCCCUCAUUAAAGUUUCUAUACUUUGAGCUCUUGUCUGAGUUUUGCACUCGGGUCCAGUUCCUGCUUCAGCUCCUCACACCGACCUCGGUAUCAACUCUGCAGAUUAACAAACAAACCGAACCCGCCGCUUCAUCAAUUCUGCACGAUCCAGCAUCCUCAUGUAAACCGGGAGAUGAUGAGCGAGUGUUUUCCACACAGUAAUGAAAGUCACAUUCACCGGGGCCCAUCGCAAACACAACACAGGCUGCAGCCAUUAAAAGUCGAUCGGGGCGCGUGCUGCGUAAACAAAUACUGAUGAUUAUUCCAACCUGCCGCUUCCUCUGACAGCGUUAAAACAUCCUUCAAUUAGAGG